rnacentral:rRNA from 1 species
UACGAAGGGGGCUAGCGUUGCUCGGAAUACUGGGCGUAAAGCGUGCGCAGGCGGUGAUGUAAGACAGAUGUGAAAUCCCCGGGCUCAACCUGGGAACUGCAUUUGUGACUGCAUCGCUGGAGUGCGGCAGAGGGGGAUGGAAUUCCGCGUGUACAGUGAAAUGCGUAGAUAUGCGGAGGAACACCGAUGGCGAAGGCAAUCCCCUGGGCCUGCACUGACGCUCAUGCACGAAAGCGUGGGGAGCAAACAGG